rnacentral:rRNA from 1 species
AUGUUAGAACAUACUGUAUAUUUAGUCUCAAGAGUAGACCCAGUCAGAUAUAUCUUAAGUAAAAUGGUACUCUCAGGGAGACUAGCUAAAUGGGCGAUGCUUUUGUCACAAUUUGACAUCACGUAUAUACCGCAAAGGGCCGUAAAAGGCCAAGCUUUGGCUAACUUCCUUGCGGCACAUCCGAUCCCAGAUGGUUUUCCUAUAAAUGAUGACUUGCCAGAUGAGGAUGUAUUCACCACGAUGGUUACAAAAUCAACAUGGCAAAUGUACUUUGAUGGCGCUUGCCAGCAAUCUGGGUCAGGCGUCGGAGUCAUUUUCAUUACACCUAAUGAAGGAGUGAUCCCAUACUCAUUUACCCUAACUUCGUCGGUGUCAAAUAAUUCAGCCGAAUAUGAAGCUCUUAUCACUGGGCUUGAAAUAGCGAUAAACAUGGGGCUCGAUACACUUUCUGUUUAUGGGGACUCACAAUUAGUGAUUAAUCAAUUGAUGGGGACCUACUGUAACACCCACGAUGCGGCUAUAUCUCCCACGUGUCGGAGCAUGACUUAG